UAGGGAAUCUUCGGCAAUGGACGAAAGUCUGACCGAGCAACGCCGCGUGAGUGAAGAAGGUUUUCGGAUCGUAAAACUCUGUUGUUAGAGAAGAACAAGGACGUUAGUAACUGAACGUCCCCUGACGGUAUCUAACCAGAAAGCCAUGGCUAACUACGUGCCAGCAGCCGCGGUAAUACGUAGGUGGCAAGCGUUGUCCGGAUUUAUUGGGCGUAAAGCGAGCGCAGGCGGUUUCUUAAGUCUGAUGUGAAAGCCCCCGGCUCAACCGGGGAGGGUCAUUGGAAACUGGGGGACUUGAGUGCAGAAGAGGAGAGUGGAAUUCCAUGUGUAGCGGUGAAAUGCGUAGAUAUAUGGAGGAACACCAGUGGCGAAGGCGGCUCUCUGGUCUGUAACUGACGCUGAGGCUCGAAAGCGUGGGGAGCAAACAGG
rnacentral:rRNA from 1 species